AAGCAAUUGAAGAAAGGACUCCAAGAGAUGGUCAUUAGUGACCAAUGGUCUUCUUAUAAGGAAGAUGAUGUUGCAAAGGCUAAAUUUGUGAAAGAUACUUUGUUGGAUGAUAAAUGGUGGGAUAAGGUUGAA